rnacentral:rRNA from 1 species
UACGUAGGGGGCAAGCGUUGUCCGGAAUCAUUGGGCGUAAAGCGCGCGUAGGCGGUCCGGUAAGACCGCUGUAAAAGUCCAGGGCUCAACCCUGGAAAGCCGGUGGAUACUGUCGGGCUAGAGUCCGGAAGAGGCGAGUGGAAUUCCUGAUGUAGCAGUGGAAUGCGCAGAUAUCAGGAGGAACACCGAUGGCGAAGGCAGCUCGCUGGGACGGUACUGACGCUGAGGCGCGAAAGCGUGGGGAGCGAACAGG